AACGGGAAUUACUUUAUUGAAACUUCGGUCGAUUUAAUUUAAUUCUAGUGGCGGACGGGUGAGUAACGCGUGGGUAACCUGCCUUAUACAGGGGGAUAACAGUCAGAAAUGGCUGCUAAUACCGCAUAAGCGCACAGAGCUGCAUGGCUCAGUGUGAAAAACUCCGGUGGUAUAAGAUGGACCCGCGUUGGAUUAGCUAGUUGGUGGGGUAACGGCCCACCAAGGCGACGAUCCAUAGCCGGCCUGAGAGGGUGAACGGCCACAUUGGGACUGAGACACGGCCCAGACUCCUACGGGAGGCAGCAGUGGGGAAUAUUGCACAAUGGGGGAAACCCUGAUGCAGCGACGCCGCGUGAAGGAAGAAGUAUCUCGGUAUGUAAACUUCUAUCAGCAGGGAAGAUAGUGACGGUACCUGACUAAGAAGCCCCGGCUAACUACGUGCCAGCGGCCGCGGUAAUACGUAGGGGGCAAGCGUUAUCCGGAUUUACUGGGUGUAAAGGGAGCGUAGACGGUGUGGCAAGUCUGAUGUGAAAGGCAUGGGCUCAACCUGUGGACUGCAUUGGAAACUGUCAUACUUGAGUGCCGGAGGGGUAAGCGGAAUUCCUAGUGUAGCGGUGAAAUGCGUAGAUAUUAGGAGGAACACCAGUGGCGAAGGCGGCUUACUGGACGGUAACU
rnacentral:rRNA from 1 species